rnacentral:tRNA from 1 species
GCCUCGGUGGCUCAGUGGUAGAGCGCGCCCUUGGUAAGGGCGAGGUCGCGGGUUCGGUUCCCGCCCGAGGCUCCA